AGUCAAGUAAUUAAGUGCAUGUGGUGGAUGCCUUGGCAGUCAGAGGCGAUGAAAGACGUGAUAGCCUGCGAAAAGCUCCGGGGAGGCGGCAAAUAUCCUUUGAUCCGGAGAUGUCUGAAUGGGGAACCCACCUACUUUAAGGUAGGUAUUGCAACAUGAAUACAUAGUGUUGCAAGGCGAACGAGGGGAAGUGAAACAUCUCAGUACCCUUAGGAAAAGAAAUCAAUUGAGAUUCCCUCAGUAGCGGCGAGCGAACGGGGAUCAGCCCAUUAAGUUAUGUGUGUUUUAGUGGAACGCUCUGGGAAGUGCGAACGUAGAGGGUGAUAUUCCCGUACACGAAAGGGCACACAUAAUGAUGACGAGUAGGGCGAGGCACGUGAAACCUUGUCUGAAUAUGGGGGACCAUCCUCCAAGGCUAAAUACUCCUGACUGACCGAUAGUGAACCAGUACCGUGAGGGAAAGGCGAAAAGAACCCCUGUGAGGGGAGUGAAAUAGAUCCUGAAACCGCAUGCAUACAAGCAGUGGGAGCACCUUCGUGGUGUGACUGCGUACCUUUUGUAUAAUGGGUCAGCGACUUAUAUUCAGUAGCGAGGUUAACCGUAUAGGGGAGCCGUAGAGAAAUCGAGUCUUAAUAGGGCGUUUUUAGUUGCUGGGUAUAGACCCGAAACCAGGCGAUCUAUCCAUGAGCAGGUUGAAGGUUGGGUAACACUAACUGGAGGACCGAACCCACUGUCGUUGAAAAGCCAGGGGAUGACUUGUGGAUAGGGGUGAAAGGCUAAUCAAGCCUGGUGAUAGCUGGUUCUCCCCGAAAGCUAUUUAGGUAGCGCCUCGGACGAAUACCAUAGGGGGUAGAGCACUGUUUCGGCUAGGGGUCAUCCCGACUUACCAAACCGAUGCAAACUCCGAAUACCUAUGAGUACUAUCCGGGAGACAGACUGCGGGUGCUAACGUCCGUAGUCAAGAGGAAAACAAUCCAGACCGCCAGCUAAGGCCCCAAAAUCAUAGUUAAGUGGGAAACGAUGUGGGAAGGCAUAGACAGCUAGGAGGUUGGCUUAGAAGCAGCCACCCUUUAAAGAAAGCGUAAUAGCUCACUAGUCGAGUCGGCCUGCGCGGAAGAUGUAACGGGGCUAAAACUAUGUGCCGAAGCUGCGGAUGUAUACUUUGUAUACGUGGUAGGGGAGCGUUCUGUAAGCCGAUGAAGGUGUGUUGAGAAGCAUGCUGGAGGUAUCAGAAGUGCGAAUGCUGACGUGAGUAACGACAAAACGGGUGAAAAACCCGUUCGCCGAAAGACCAAGGGUUCCAGUCCAACGUUAAUCGGGGCUGGGUGAGUCGACCCCUAAGGCGAGGCCGAAAGGCGUAGUCGAUGGGAAAAUGGUUAAUAUUCCAUUACUUCUGUGUAAUGCGAUGAGAGGACGGAGAAGGCUAAAUCAGCCUGGCGUUGGUUGUCCAGGUGAAAGGAUGUAGGCAUGUAUCUUAGGCAAAUCCGGGGUACUCUAUGCUGAGAUCUGAUAGCAAGCUGUACUUGUACAGCGAAGUGGUUGAUGCCAUGCUUCCAGGAAAAGUCUCUAAGCUUCAGUUACACAGGAAUCGUACCCGAAACCGACACAGGUGGUCAGGUCGAGUAGACCAAGGCGCUUGAGAGAACUCUGCUGAAGGAACUAGGCAAAAUGGUACCGUAACUUCGGGAGAAGGUACGCUGUUGUUGGUGAUGGAACUCGCUUCCUGAGCUGACGACAGCCGCAGAAACCAGGCCGCUGCAACUGUUUAUUAAAAACAUAGCACUCUGCAAACACGAAAGUGGACGUAUAGGGUGUGAUGCCUGCCCGGUGCUGGAAGGUUAAUUGAUGGGGUUAGCGUAAGCGAAGCUCUUGAUCGAAGCCCCAGUAAACGGCGGCCGUAACUAUAACGGUCCUAAGGUAGCGAAAUUCCUUGUCGGGUAAGUUCCGACCUGCACGAAUGGCAUAAUGAUGGCGGCGCUGUCUCCAGCAGAGGCUCAGUGAAAUCGAAAUCGCUGUGAAGAUGCAGUGUACCCGCGGCUAGACGGAAAGACCCCGUGAACCUUUACUGCAGCUUGACACUGAACUUUGACCUUACUUGUGUAGGAUAGGUGGGAGGCUUUGAAGCUGGAACGCUAGUUCCAGUGGAGCCGUCCUUGAAAUACCACCCUGGUAAUGUUGAGGUUCUAACUCUGUCCCGUGAUCCGGGACGAGGACCGUGUCUGGUGGGUAGUUUGACUGGGGCGGUCUCCUCCUAAAGAGUAACGGAGGAGUACGAAGGUGCGCUCAGCGUGGUCGGAAAUCACGCGUAGAGUAUAAAGGCAAAAGCGCGCUUAACUGCGAGACCCACAAGUCGAGCAGGUACGAAAGUAGGUCUUAGUGAUCCGGUGGUUCUGUAUGGAAGGGCCAUCGCUCAACGGAUAAAAGGUACUCUGGGGAUAACAGGCUGAUACCGCCCAAGAGUUCAUAUCGACGGCGGUGUUUGGCACCUCGAUGUCGGCUCAUCUCAUCCUGGGGCUGAAGCAGGUCCCAAGGGUAUGGCUGUUCGCCAUUUAAAGAGGUACGCGAGCUGGGUUUAGAACGUCGUGAGACAGUUCGGUCCCUAUCUACCGUGGGCGCUGGAAAUUUGAGAGGAUCUGCUCCUAGUACGAGAGGACCAGAGUGGACGAACCUCUGGUGUACCGGUUGUGACGCCAGUCGCAUCGCCGGGUAGCUAUGUUCGGAAGGGAUAACCGCUGAAAGCAUCUAAGCGGGAAGCCUACCUCAAGAUAAGAUUUCCCUAGGACUUUAUGUCCUCUAAAGAGCCGUUCGAGACUAGGACGUUGAUAGGUUGGAUGUGGAAGCAUAGUGAUAUGUGAAGCUGACCAAUACUAAUUGCUCGUGAGGCUUGACUAU
rnacentral:rRNA from 1 species